rnacentral:tRNA from 1 species
GGGAUGGAGCUCAGUGGUAGAGUGUUAGCCUAGCAUGCAGGGGGCCCUGGGUCAGAUCCUCAGUACCCCG